UACAGAGGUCCCAAGCGUUGUUCGGAUUCACUGGGCGUAAAGGGUGCGUAGGCGGUCGGGUAAGUCUGAUGUGAAAUCUCACAGCUUAACUGUGAAACUGCAUUGGAUACUAUUCGGCUUGAGAGUUGGAGGGGGGACUGGAAUUCUUGGUGUAGCAGUGAAAUGCGUAGAUAUCGGGAAGAACACCCGUGGCGAAGGCGGCUCUCUGGGACGGUACUGACGCUGAGACGCGAAAGCGUGGGGAGCGAACAGG
rnacentral:rRNA from 1 species